CUGAUGCACUGGGACAGCAGCAACAUUCCUUAUGGUUGCUAGCCAACCUAGGAAAAGUUACCCUCUCCUGUGCAGAUCCUACACAGCCUUCCCACAACCCCUAAGGCCUCUUCCAAGAGUUUGGAACUCAAGCCCAGCCUCUUCCAAAUGCUGAAAGAAAAAACAACAGCUGUUAAAUUUCCUUUAUGUUUCUUGCAUCUUAUAGUACAUAUGGUUUAGAAAACACUACGACAAGCUUAAUAUGGAAUGGUCUUCCUAGCCUCAAGCAGCAGAAGUAACUUCUCCCAGUUAGGCAGGGAAUUAUCCAUUUUUCCUAUAUAAGAAAAAACAAGAAUGUUUGCAUGGUAACAGAAUGUUUACAAUCUGACAUCCACAUCCACUGUAAAUCCACCGGGUUCAAACAGCAGUCAGAUAAUACAAACGAGAAAGAAGCAUGAAAGUGGAGGAGUCUGUGUAGAAGUGGUGGUACUUAGGAGGAAGGCACGGUCUGUCUUAUGCUUUGUGGAUACAAUCAGAUCAGAAAGCAUUGUGCUUUAUGGCACAGUUUCCUUGGCCAAAGGAUGCUUUGGCAGCAGAGGUUUGCUGUGAGGAGGCAUUAGAGCACUGAAGAAAAGGCUGCUGUGCACUGGGCCCAGAGACAUCAGCCUCACAGCACGUCACUGGUGGUGGAUAUCUGCAAGCUUUGUGUCUGUCAGUGACUGCUCUGAAGGCUUUGUAGUCAGCUGUCCGUGGCUGUUUUGCUUUUUAGGGUGUAGGAAGAGAUGACAACGCACCAAUUGGAGUGAUGGUGUCCUGCUCGGAAAUGGAUGUGCUGGAUGGCAGAAGAGGAUUCUUGGCCAAGUAUGGAAUCAUCUCUGUUCCUUCACAAAGGAACAAAACAAGGCAACAGAGACGUUGACAGCAGCGAUGGUGAUGGAGAUGUUCAGACUGGAGGAGCUCUUGGCUCGCUGCAGCCACCCAGCAUCCCCAGAGGUGGGCACGGGGACCUGGGAGGGCUUUGGUGCUGCACAAACGACUGCAGGCAGAGGUGUAGGAAAGUGAACGCCAAGCAUUUAAUAAUUGAACGUACAAAACAGCAAAUAAAUGACGAUAGAUAUUCCCAACCAUUCCCACCCUGACAAUUGUUUCUGAUCCCACCCCCUAAAAUUCCCACCCUCUAAUUAAUUUCCCCACCCCCCAGCUCCCACCCCGCAAUCAAUUUCUCACCUUCCCUCCCCGCCCCCCCCCCCGCCCCGGCUCCCUCCCACCAAUAGUUCCCUCCCUCUGCAAAACACUUCCCAGCCCCCAGAUUCCCACCCCAAUAAUUCCUUCCUCCAAAUUCCAACAAUUUCGGAGUGCAACAUGAUCAGAGUACAAUUUCCCACCCAGAAUUGCCACCCCACAAAAUUCCCUCCCCCUCCUCACAUCUCCAAUGCCAGCAGUCACGAAGUCCAAUCCUUUUUGAUGCCAACCAUCUCCCACAGCAGCCAUUUCUCACCCCAGCAGUUCCCCACCCCCCAAAUUCCCACCCCAACAAUAUCACAGUAGAGCCAUU
rnacentral:lncRNA from 7 species